UUAAAAACAGUGAACGGUUGUUUUGAGAGAAAAGGAAGUUUUUAAAAAAAUUGCUUUUGUCUAGAAUUUGCCAGUUCAAUGAGUUUGCUAAAAAAUUAUUUCGAAGUACUUGAAUGAAUACAUUUAUGAACUUUGCAAAUUACUAUAUAACCCACAAAUGAAUGAUAUACCUGCCAGGAUCCUAUGUCUUUUACACGCUUUGGAACCGGGCGUUGAAAUACGGCACACAACUUAUAAAUGUUGGCGUACAUGAGGAAAACGUUGGCAGCGACAGCGAUGGCGGAAGCUUGGGGGAACAGUGGCGAAAAUAAAAACACGUAUCCGAAUUGGAGAAAUAGUUGAGAAUAGUCGUCGUAACAUCCCUGUAAAAUGUCAAAGGGAUCCAUGUCACCCUCAAAAGUACUCAUUUCUAUGCGUGGGUCACUCUCGAGGAGUGGGACCAAUCCCAAAGCGGCUGGAUCGUGGUCUUGGUGGUGGAGAUGGGAGAUCCAGUUGGCGUUGUGACGCAACGACG